CAAGAAGCCGAAAGGCUACUUAAAACCAUCGCGAACUUAUCCAAGUUGCUUCGGCGGCGCGGCUCCCCUCACGGGGGACCGCAGCCCCCGCCUCUCAGGAGGUAAGGGGCCGCCGCCGGAGGUACGAAACUCUGUAUUAUAGUGGUAUCUCUGAGUAUAAAACAAAUAAGUUA
rnacentral:misc_RNA from 1 species